UUUCCGUAGGUGAACCUGCGGAAGGAUCAUUAAAGAACGCCCCGUUUUUUGAAAUGGGUAAUUCUAAACCGUGUAUACAUACCUUUGUUGCUUUGGCAGGCCGCCCCUCAGGGCGUCGGCUCCGGCUGACUGCGCCUGCCAGAGGACCCAAACUCUUUUGUUUAGUGAUGUCUGAGUACUAUAUAAUAGUUAAAACUUUCAACAACGGAUCUCUUGGUUCCGGCAUCGAUGAGAACGCAGC
rnacentral:misc_RNA from 1 species